GUGGUUAAUUCGAUGCAACGCGAGAACUUACCUGGUCUUGACAUCCCGGAGACCCUUAGGAAACUAGGGGUGCUUCCAUCUGGAAGAAUCUGGAGACAGGUGCUGCAUGGCUGUCGUCAGCUCGUGUCGUGAGAUGUUGGGUUAAGUCCCGCAACGAGCGCAACCCUUGCCUUUAGUUGCCAGCAGUUCGGCUGGGCACUCUAAAGGGACUGCCGGUGUUAAACCGGAGGAAGGUGGGGAUGACGUCAAGUCCUCAUGGCCUUUAUGACCAGGGCUACACACGUACUACAAUGGCCGAUACAAAGGGCAGCGACACUGCGAGGUGAAGCCAAUCCCGUAAAAUCGGUCUCAGUCCGGAUUGGAGUCUGCAACUCGACUCCAUGAAGUUGGAAUCGCUAGUAAUCGUGGAUCAGCAUGCCACGGUGAAUACGUUCCCGGGCCUU
rnacentral:rRNA from 1 species